rnacentral:rRNA from 1 species
GAUGAACGCUCGGCGGCCGUGCCUAACACAUGCAAGUCGAGCGUGAAGUUUUGGAAUGAUACGUUCGGUAAAAGUGAAGGAACGGAAAAGCGGCGGACGGUGAGUAACGCGUAGGUAACCUGCCCCAUACACAGGGAUAGCCUAGGGAAACCUGGAUUAAUACCUGAUAAUGCGAAGGAGUCACAUGGCUUCUUCGCCAAAGAUUGAUCGGUAUGGGAUGGACCUGCGUCUGAUUAGCUGGUUGGUGAGGUAACGGCUCACCAAGGCAGCGAUCAGUAGCCGACCUGAGAGGGUAAUCGGCCACAUUGGAACUGAGACACGGUCCAAACUCCUACGGGAGGCAGCAGUGGGGAAUAUUGCACAAUGGGCGCAAGCCUGAUGCAGCGACGCCGCGUGAGCGAAGAAGGUCUUCGGAUCGUAAAGCUCUGUCCUUAGGGAAGAAACAAAUGACGGUACCUAAGGAGGAAGCCCCGGCUAACUACGUG